rnacentral:rRNA from 1 species
UACGGAGGGUGCAAGCGUUAUCCGGAUUCACUGGGUUUAAAGGGUGCGUAGGUGGGCCUGUAAGUCAGUGGUGAAAUCUCCGGGCUUAACUCGGAACGGUCAAGUGAUACUGUCGGACUAGAGUACAGAAGGGGCAACUGGAAUUCUCGGUGUAGCGGUGAAAUGCGUAGAUAUCGAGAGGAACACCUGCGGCGAAGGCGGGUUGCUGGGCUGAUACUGACGCUGAGGCGCGAAAGCCAGGGGAGCGAACGGG